CCCUGAUUGGAAUUGUGCUGUUCAGAGCCUCCAAUGACCUCCAAUUGUAAGACUCCAGCCUUUGAAGUUUAUUAUCCUGCAGCCUCUCUGAUUGUAAAGCUUCACUUCCUCCUGAAAUCGUGGGCCAUACACAGAGUCCAGGAAAAACACAGCAUUGUGCACGGAGAGUCAGAAAGCGACAAUGACUGUGACACUGUUGAAAAUGCCCCCUUGAUGUUCAUGCUUUAUUCGUGGAGGGACCUCAUCCACACUCAGACCACGGACUUGGUACCAUAAGCAGAAUUUCUCGGGAAAGUGGCUCCUUACAUCACCUUCCUUCAACCAGCUCUUUAUGAAUAAUGCAUCCUGCAUCAUCCAGAGGCUUGUCCAACUCGACUUAGAAAGUGGGAAAAGCAAAUUUAGUGACGUAAGAAGGAAGGAAAAUCGCCAAGUCAUUCAAGUCCCGAGAUCCGCAAUAACAACAAAACACGGCAAGCACUUAAAAAACAGAACUGACCGAGAGAAGUUCCUCCCUCGGUCACUUGGUGGAUGCAGAACUUCGUGUAGCGCCAUUGGUUUGCCGUGGGUGAAACAGCCCCUGUCCUUGGCCCCUGCCUGGCAGCAGGUGCUCUCUGUCAGCUUCUGUAUACCACUACGUUUACCUGAAGAAAUAAAAACGUGUCCUGUUAUAUGUGCGUCUGUAUCCGAAGAUGAAAAAAGCUUCAUGAUUAAUGCAUGUCUUCGGAACAUAUCCAGCCAUCUGUGCUUUCCGUGCUCUGACAGUUUGUUAAUAAUGCAUCAGUGUUUGUUUGUUUUCCCAAUAAAUCGUAUGGCAGAAAAAGACACCAGAAUUAUAACCCACUCAUGCAGUCUACACCGUCUGUCGGAUGUGGACAGCCCCAUUCCUCUCCCCUCCUCUUCUCCCCCACCCCAGCCCAGCCCAUCUUAUCC
rnacentral:lncRNA from 9 species